ACCUAGGCACCACCUUCGUCUUCGGAGUUGAGCAAAGUUGGAUCCAGUUGAGCAGCAGACAGUUUUUCUUUGCCUCUCUCUCGGCAGUCUUCGUAGCCUUCCGAAUAGACCUUCAUGAUUUCGACGUUAAGUUCGUCCGAAUCCCUGUAUUCUGCUUGAAUCUGCUUUCUCAGCUCUUCGGUCAGAAGAGGACCCCUUCCCUCAAGCUCCUUUAUUUUAUGACGAAGUUUGUGGCGUUUGUUCUUAUGUCUCCGCUCUUCGUCCUGGGCUUUCGAUUGAGCGUCGCCAAGCUGAAUUGCCAAGCUCCGGUUGGCCGAAGAAAAUUCCUCAUUUUUGGCCUUCAGAAGUAGGUUUUCU
rnacentral:lncRNA from 1 species